UCUUCUGUGGUGUAGUUGGUAGCGCCUUGGCUUAGUAAUUAGCCUAUAUGUCCCAGGUUCAAGUCCCGGUCGCGGUAAAA